rnacentral:lncRNA from 1 species
ACCCAGUCCUUGCUCAUAUAAAACAUCUCUCCAAUCAAUUAGUCUCUCCAUCCUUACCACAUUUGAGAUCUCCAACCCUCUCUUCCUUUCUAUUUAUAAAAACUUUAAAAGGGUGGUUGUCGAUGCAUAUGUCUAUAAUAAAUAUUGCAGAUCUCGUUGAGUUGAUCUUGAUAGGUGUUGGAGGGGAAACCACUUUACCAACAUAACUUGAUGGUUUCCCAAGGAUAAGCUUAGUGUUCUAAAACAAGCAC